rnacentral:rRNA from 1 species
AUUACUGAGUUUACGCUCUACAACCCUUUGUGAACAUACCUAUAACUGUUGCUUCGGCGGGUAGGGUCUCCGUGACCCUCCCGGCCUCCCGCCCCCGGGCGGGUCGGCGCCCGCCGGAGGAUAACCAAACUCUGAUUUAACGACGUUUCUUCUGAGUGGUACAAGCAAAUAAUCAAAACUUUUAACAACGGAUCUCUUGGUUCUGGCAUCGAUGAAGAACGCAGCGAAAUGCGAUAAGUAAUGUGAAUUGCAGAAUUCAGUGAAUCAUCGAAUCUUUGAACGCACAUUGCGCCCGCCAGCAUUCUGGCGGGCAUGCCUGUUCGAGCGUCAUUUCAACCCUCAAGCUCUGCUUGGUGUUGGGGCCCUACAGCUGAUGUAGGCCCUCAAAGGUAGUGGCGGACCCUCCCGGAGCCUCCUUUGCGUAGUAACUUUACGUCUCGCACUGGGAUCCGGAGGGACUCUUGCCGUAAAACCCCCCAAUUUUCCAAAGGUUGACCUCGGAUCAGGUAGGAAUACCCGCUGAACUUAAGCAUAUCAAUAAGCGGAGGAAAAGAAACCAACAGGGAUUGCCUCAGUAACGGCGAGUGAAGCGGCAACAGCUCAAAUUUGAAAUCUGGCCCU